ACCUAGCUGGCUCAGUCGGUGGAGCAUGUGACUCUUGAUCUCAGAAUUGUGAGUUAGAGCUCCAUGUUGAGUG
rnacentral:tRNA from 1 species